ACGACCAUUUUCGUUUGCGGCAUGAUGCGUCUUCUAAUUGUGCGAGGCAAAUGCGCGAGCAUGCAUCGAUUUGCAUCUAUCAACUGCGUCAUCGCGCAACGUGAUCCAAGCGUUAGAAUUUCGUGUGUAGGUGCUCGGACCUUGUCUGGAGUUUACCACCACGGCGCGUUUGCAACGUUCCAUUUGCAAUACCAAAAAAGAAAUACUUGGUAGCAGAUUACGAAGAUGAGAAUAAGAAAAGAUUUUCAAUUAUUCCUAAACCUUGAGACUUUUCUCAACUCUUUCAAUGAAAUAUUAUUAAAAUUCCACGAAGUAAAUGUUCAAUAUUUCAUUCAUUUUUCUAUUUUAAUAUUUCUAGCUUCAACUGGAAAAUAAUUGACUAUCUAUACAAUCCAAAGCACGUGUUUUCUGUAAUACCGAAAAUUUAUAGGCCAUACUUUGUAACGUUCGUCGAGCACGAGAAUGGAGGAAAAAGAUACUGCUUUGACGGAAACCUGUGCCACCAAUGCAUAUAUAACACCUACGAAACCCGAUUUAUCCUGGCCGUAGUACGCAGAUACGCUCGUGUCGCAACACCUCUGCGCUGAAAAGCAAAUCUUGCGCGGAUCGAUUGAACUAGUUCGCGAAACUGGAAAGGGACAAAACAGGCCGUGACCCAUUGACUCAUUAGCACGUCCUAAGACAGAUACUACUGCCAGCAGCUGUUGGCGAUCGCGACGAUCACGUACCUGGGCCAUGGGAAUCGGAUCGAAGUCGCAUACAUGCGCGUCAGAAUGGACCGUGGACACCUGGUCGAUCGCGAUGCAGUUCCACGAAAUCAUUGCGUUGCAUAAUCCGAUCGCAUUGGCAACGCGGAUGGCGAUUCUACAACCAGAAUGACUAAUGCCUCGUGGAACUGCCUCUGCGAAUGACAAGGUAUGUUCCAGCUGAUGAGUAUUCGAUUCGAUCAACUUUGCAUAAGAUGCAGUUCAAAUUACUAGGGAUAAAGAUCGUGGAGCUAAUCGAGGAAGAGGUGAAGAGUGGACAGUCAGAAAAUUUGAGUUUUCAGGCACUGAAAUUCUAUUGUAAGUAUUCUAGUUUAUUUUAGUUUCAGUUUAUUUUUUUUAUCGAGAAAUUAUUUCGUGGGCUUAUUUAUUAAAGAAAUCUUAAAUACUAAUCAACAAAAUAAUUUCCAUCAUUUUCUAAUAUUUUUUGCCAGAGUAAAGACAAUAAUUGUUCGAUUCUCUGUUUAAAAAACUCCUUCGAUUUUUCAUUCAAAAACUUUUCCAAGUCGAAAACACUUUGAUUACUUUCCAAGCUCAAGAGCAAGGUGUUGAUUUCGUAGCCCAUCUUGGAUGGUCUGAAGAAAGAUCUUUAGAAAGUUUGAGUUUUUUCAGUAAGUAAUAGCAAUAUCGAACCCCUAUCCCUUUAGCAGACGUCGAUUUCGAAUUUGGAGAGUUGAUGUAAAGCGAAUUAUAUCUGAUGUAUUCGACACGAAAGGAAGGCCUCUUUGUUGAUCAAACGGUGACGCAACCGGACGUUUCGACGGGAACAGAUUCAACAGUCGAAUAAUUAUUACAACGAUUGCACAAAGUUUCAUUGCUUGACAACACGUCGACGUCAGUUAUGGUUAGUUCCAAAUAGGGAAGAAGGGAGGUAUCGUUGAGUGCAAUAUUUACAACGAUUCGCGAAAAUUGUCGACAAGCCAGUUUCAUCGAUGCAUAGCAAGUUUAACCAUAAACGGGUCACGAAUUUAUACUAGUCUCCACGGAAAUAAGGAAAGGCAUUUGUGAAUUCAAUUUGUAAAUCCAACAAUGAGCGAAGCUGGAACGUCACGGUUAUUUUUCACUUUGCAAAUGUGGGACGCAAACGUGGAUCUAUCAGUGAUAUAAUAUUAAGGUGACUUGGAAGAUGUUGCGUAUAUUGGCCGAUUCACUUCCUGAUUAGUUUUUAAGUCAAUCGAAAUUAUGUAUCCUCAAUUUAUCUGCAGUUUCAUGUUAUGCAGCUUUUAUGAAAUUAUUGAAAAUGGAUCUACGUGAAUGUUUGGUGUCUUUUUACAUUCAGCAUGUCACUGCUUGCGGAGAUUAUCGUGCUUGAAAGCAUAUUUUACCACUUAAUAAAUGAAGAUUGUGACAAAUGAGAUAUUCUCUGAGACAUUGGAAUAGCAAUCCAAUGUACUUGACGCGUAAAAUCAAUAAUAAACGAGUAUAAUUAAGGUGUGCAGGUUUCCUUGGAUUGCACAUGUAUCUACCUAUGAUUAAGUUUCACGAAACGACGUAUCAACGUUGUUCACACGUUAAUCAUUAUAUGAUUCUACCGCUAUCAGUAUCCACAAAAACAGCAACGUAAACGGCGUUGAAUACAACGAAUGAUGUGUUAUUUAAGAUGGUUGUAUCGAGU